CUCCCCCUCAAAACCCACACAAAGCCCUGCUGGCAGUUGAAUAAUGUUAUUUUGUGGGUCAUGGUCUUCUUCGGUGGUGCCUUCGUCAGUUUCCACAGCAGUAACAGUUGGUUGUCGUCUCUGUGUGAUCAGAACAGGUGUUGAACUUGACAGAUAUAAGGCUCUGGUCAGUUAAAGGUUGGACAGUAACAGUUAAGAACCGACGUGACUGAACUCCACAUCCAGGAUUUAAGGUUCUGUCCAACUAACUUUAGAUUCAGUCUGUUUUUGACAACUCGGUGUCCAAUCUGUUGGCCACUAAAGAUCCCAGUGGACUUACAGAAUCGUCUUGCUUGCUAACAGAAAAAAUGACAUCAGUGAGAAAGCUCUUAGCGCCCUCUCCUGGAUAAAGUUUAAACUACCUCAAAAGGUCUGACGGUCACCUCGACUGUAAAAUCCACCGUCCUAUGGCUGAGCGUCCACUUUGGUCGUCGUUGUCUGAAGGCUAACUGUUGGCGUGCUCUGUGUUUUGAUGAACAUUUUCUUUGAAUUCUUCUCAGUUGAACCGACUUGAUGUCUGCAGAUGGGGAACGGGCAAAACUGCUCCUUUUCUGAUAUUUUCUCUUCUUUUAUCAUAGUAAUUAUAAUAAUGAUCUGAAAGUGAUGCCAGCUCCACACACACACACACACACGCGUACGCACACAUGCAUUAAAGCCUUCUGGGAGUUUAGGCCCAGAGGCUGCAGUUUAACCUAAAUUACUACAGUAAAUAUUCACACUCAGUUUGUGUGUGCGUGCGUGUGUGUGUGUGUGUGUGUGUGUGUGUGUGUGUGAUUAAAUAUUCAUGCAGUUUCCUGCUGUUCAGCUGUUUUCAGCUCCCCUCAGUUUUAAGGUGCUUUUUUUUUUUUUUCUCAGCGACCAAUCAGAGAUCAGUCUCAGUUGUUGUAAUUUAUAAGACCAACUUAAGAGACUUUGAAGUUCUGUAACCAGGGGGUCCUGAAAGUCCAGGUUUUUACCCGGUGCCGUCAUGUAGCUGCCUCUGAGUGCCUGAUUCCCCCGGCCUCCUGAAGGCUGGUUAAAGCUGUAAAUAAAUUGCUCCUUGUUGGGAUCAAUAAUGCUAUUUAUCUAUCUGCAGCGUGUCUCUAAUGGUGAUGAUGUCAACCAGUCCGAGCGCAGCGUGCUCUGCAUGUGCCAUGUUAAUGAGCAAAAACUGAUUUUAAAGCCCCCUGGUGGCAGGACUCAGAAGAGUUGAGGAUGUUUGGUUCCAUUCCAGUUCACCGUAGUAACUCAGGACACAGUACUACACAGUAUUUGUCCUGGUGUACUACAGUAUGUGUAGUACUGAAUGACGCCACAGAUUUCUCACUUAUCGGGUUCGUUAAUGGCGUCCGUUCACGGUCUCUUUUUUCUGGGUGUGGUCUAGCCCCGCCCACUUCCUACUAACAUUAUCAAUCUGUAGGCACCUGUCAGCCUCUGUUCUGAGAAAGCAACCAGUGAAACCAUGGAAACAGACCAAAACAUCAUGACCUCUGACCUUUGUGUUGGUCUGUCCUACUGUGUGUGUGUGUGUAAGACAGACAGAGAGAGAGACAUAGAGAAAGAGAGAGAGAGAACCUCUCCUGUGAGGGUCAGCGCGGGCGUCACUGACACAUCCAUGUUCCUCCGGCGCUGCUUUCACUGACCUCUGUAAACAGGAGCUCUGCUCAGCGACGCUCAGCGACGACCUCCUGUUAGGGGAACGUCUUUGAGCCGAGGACAAGUUUCUGGGUCAGCGCACGUGUGUCUGUGUGUCCGUUGGUGCGUGUGAGUGUGUGAGUGUGUGUGUUUCCUGGGGCUGAUUAAUGAUUGGCUGUAUGUGUGUCAGAGUGUAACCGCAGGACACCAAGAAUCACCUGUGGGACUGUUGAGGUUAAGAGAGGUUAAAGAUGUACAGAGAGAGAGAGAGGGGAGGGAGGGAGGGAGGAGGAAGGGAGAGAGAGAGGGGGUUGUAAGUAACCGCUUUCCUUAAACUGCACUAGUCAUUGGGUGAAAACAAUAACAUUAGUGUGUGGUGUGUAUCGUGUGGCAGCACCGUAGACUGUAUAUAAAAACAGGACGUAGCCGACCUACAGGCGUUAGUGAGACUCCACAUUAAGACUACGAUAACUUUGGAAAAAUCGUGCUUUCAUUUCAGUUCGAACAUUAGCAGCACCUGGUCGUUAACUGAUACGUGUUGGUCUGCCACCAUACAGUCUUCGUUGUUUUUGUUUCCCUCGGUCGUUCCCUUGACCUUGAUGGGGAUUUUUAACUUCUACGUCCAAGACAAAAACGAAA